CCGUGAGGGAAAGAUGAAAAGCACUUUGGAAAGAGAGUUAAACAGUACGUGAAAUUGUUGGAAGGGAAACGAUUGAAGUCAGUCGUGUCCGAGGGGUUCAGCCGGUCCUGCCGGUGCACUCCCCUCGGACGGGUCAACAUCGGUUCUGUCCGGCGGACAAGGGCAGGGGGAACGUGGCACCCUCGUGGUGUGUUAUAGCCCCCYGUCGCAUACGUCGGUCGGGACCGAGGAUCGCAGCUCGCCCUCACGGGCCGGGGUUCGCCCACGUCCGAGCUUAGG
rnacentral:rRNA from 1 species